rnacentral:lncRNA from 1 species
UUACUGGGAGGUAGAAGUAAAUAAUGGGGACAGAAGUUGGACCAGGAACGAGAUGAGCUCUGGGUGUUUGUUCAGCACAAUGAAGAGAGAGUGGUGGUUUGUAGAAAGUCCAGAGAAGAAUUUCUGCAUGGUGACAUGUGAAGAAGGAAGGGUCAUGGCUCUCACUUCCUGCCCAGAGACUCUGUCAGGAGCCUCCCUGUCCCCCUAGAAGGUUUCCAGGACAGCAAGGCUGGAGACGUGUCUUUUCACAACGAGGUCGAUUAGUCCCACAUCUAUUCUCUUACUGGAAUCACCUUCUGUGGGAUUUUCCAUCCUUAUUCUAGCCUUCAGAGUGCUGGCACAUCUGUGACCUUCUGCUUAGAUCAUCAUGAAAAUUGUCCUGAUUCUUUUCCAGUUACCCCUGUAACUUCUUUAACGAGUUGUGAUAGAGAUGUUGCCCAGGAAGCUAAUGUUCUAUUAGCAUAAUAAGCAGCGAAGUGUUGGCACCUCUGCUGUCUCCACUGGAGCAUCUUCUAGGUACAUUCACCAGGAAAGCUGUCCUUGGAUGGUUGUGGGGCUAGACAAGAAGGAAAAAAAUCACUGUCCUCAUGGAAGUUAAAUUGUACUGACAAAGGAGGAAAAUGUCAGGGAGUUAACAAUUCAGUCUCUGUGGCUUCCUCCUGUCCUCUCCCUGAAACUGAGAUCCAGCCAAUCUGCACAUUUAUUCUGAGAGUGGCCCCACUUUAAUGACUACACCCAGCUGUCUACACACCAGGAGGGGAGGGAACUGUAUCCUGAGGCACCAACCCGAUUACCCACCCAACAGCCACAGGGACUUCCAGUGACUGGGGCAUCAUCCUCAAUGCCACCAACCCCUCUCCUUCCUGUGGCUUUUCUAACUGGAACUGGAACUCAGAAAGUACAUUAAUCACCAAUUUGGGAAGCUAUAGGAAAGUAUGUUUUCUAAUAUACAGUGAGAGAAUGUGACUGAUAAAACCAAUUUUCUUGAGACUUUCUCCCUGGAAAGUGAAUAUAUGUAUUCAUAGGGCCUUCACAAGCACAGACUAACAAGCAAAGAGCUACAUUCACUGGGAAGGAAGACUCAAAAGUAAGUGAAAAAUAAUAGUUAA